GCAAUGGUGGUUCUGUGGUAGAAUUCUCGCCUUCCACGAGAGAGACCUGGGUUUGAUUUCUGGCCAAUGCA
rnacentral:tRNA from 1 species